GCAAGUCGAACGCGAAAGUACUUUGGUACGAGUAGAGUGGCGAAAGGGCGAGUAAAGCAUUCCUAACGUGCCCCAAGGUGCGGGAUAGCAUCGGGAAACUGAUGGUAAUACCGCAUGAUCCUGAGUUGUCGUAUGGCAUUUCAGGCAAAGGUUUACUGCCUUGGGAUCGGGGAAUGUGCUAUCAGGUUGUUGGUGAGGUAACGGCUCACCAAGCCAAUGACGGCUAGCGGGUGUGAGAGCAUGACC
rnacentral:rRNA from 1 species